CCAGGGGGCGUGUCCGCCUGAGUCCGCGGCCCCAGCUCUGGACGUUUGCCAUGGAGGGGUCUGGCGAGCCACUGCUGGAUGCUAAGUCUCAGGUGACCAACCAGCUUAUAGAUCUUCAGUGGAAACUGGGUAUGGCUGUGAGCUCGGACACUUGUAGAUCUCUUAAGUAUCC